UACGUAGGGACCAAGCGUUGUCCGGAAUCAUUGGGCGUAAAGAGCGUGUAGGCGGCUUGUUAAGUCUUGCGUGAAAUCUCGGGGCUCAACCCCGAGCGGUCGUGAGAAACUGGCAGGCUAGAGUGCGGGAGAGGAGAGUGGAAUUCCUGGUGUAGCGGUGAAAUGCGCAGAUAUCAGGAGGAACACCUGUGGCGAAAGCGGCUCACUGGACCAUAACUGACGCUGAUGCACGAAAGCUAGGGGAGCAAACAGG
rnacentral:rRNA from 1 species